rnacentral:rRNA from 1 species
GUUAAGCGACUAAGCGUACACGGUGGAUGCCCUGGCAGUCAGAGGCGAUGAAGGACGUGCUAAUCUGCGAUAAGCGUCGGUGAGGUGAUAUGAACCGUUAUAACCGGCGAUUUCCGAAUGGGGAAACCCAGUGUGUUUCGACACACUAUCAUUAACUGAAUCCAUAGGUUAAUGAGGCGAACCGGGGGAACUGAAACAUCUAAGUACCCCGAGGAAAAGAAAUCAACCGAGAUUCCCCCAGUAGCGGCGAGCGAACGGGGAGGAGCCCAGAGCCUGAAUCAGUGUGUGUGUUAGUGGAAGCGUCUGGAAAGGCGCGCGAUACAGGGUGACAGCCCCGUACACAAAAAUGCACAUAUUGUGAGCUCGAUGAGUAGGGCGGGACACGUGGUAUCCUGUCUGAAUAUGGGGGGACCAUCCUCCAAGGCUAAAUACUCCUGACUGACCGAUAGUGAACCAGUACCGUGAGGGAAAGGCGAAAAGAACCCCGGCGAGGGGAGUGAAAAAGAACCUGAAACCGUGUACGUACAAGCAGUGGGAGCCUCUUAAUGGGGUGACUGCGUACCUUUUGUAUAAUGGGUCAGCGACUUAUAUUCUGUAGCAAGGUUAACCGAAUAGGGGAGCCGAAGGGAAACCGAGUCUUAACUGGGCGUUAAGUUGCAGGGUAUAGACCCGAAACCCGGUGAUCUAGCCAUGGGCAGGUUGAAGGUUGGGUAACACUAACUGGAGGACCGAACCGACUAAUGUUGAAAAAUUAGCGGAUGACUUGUGGCUGGGGGUGAAAGGCCAAUCAAACCGGGAGAUAGCUGGUUCUCCCCGAAAGCUAUUUAGGUAGCGCCUCGUGAAUUCAUCUCCGGGGGUAGAGCACUGUUUCGGCAAGGGGGUCAUCCCGACUUACCAACCCGAUGCAAACUGCGAAUACCGGAGAAUGUUAUCACGGGAGACACACGGCGGGUGCUAACGUCCGUCGUGAAGAGGGAAACAACCCAGACCGCCAGCUAAGGUCCCAAAGUCAUGGUUAAGUGGGAAACGAUGUGGGAAGGCCCAGACAGCCAGGAUGUUGGCUUAGAAGCAGCCAUCAUUUAAAGAAAGCGUAAUAGCUCACUGGUCGAGUCGGCCUGCGCGGAAGAUGUAACGGGGCUAAACCAUGCACCGAAGCUGCGGCAGCGACGCUUAUGCGUUGUUGGGUAGGGGAGCGUUCUGUAAGCCUGCGAAGGUGUGCUGUGAGGCAUGCUGGAGGUAUCAGAAGUGCGAAUGCUGACAUAAGUAACGAUAAAGCGGGUGAAAAGCCCGCUCGCCGGAAGACCAAGGGUUCCUGUCCAACGUUAAUCGGGGCAGGGUGAGUCGACCCCUAAGGCGAGGCCGAAAGGCGUAGUCGAUGGGAAACAGGUUAAUAUUCCUGUACUUGGUGUUACUGCGAAGGGGGGACGGAGAAGGCUAUGUUGGCCGGGCGACGGUUGUCCCGGUUUAAGCGUGUAGGCUGGUUUUCCAGGCAAAUCCGGAAAAUCAAGGCUGAGGCGUGAUGACGAGGCACUACGGUGCUGAAGCAACAAAUGCCCUGCUUCCAGGAAAAGCCUCUAAGCAUCAGGUAACAUCAAAUCGUACCCCAAACCGACACAGGUGGUCAGGUAGAGAAUACCAAGGCGCUUGAGAGAACUCGGGUGAAGGAACUAGGCAAAAUGGUGCCGUAACUUCGGGAGAAGGCACGCUGAUAUGUAGGUGAAGCGACUUGCUCGUGGAGCUGAAAUCAGUCGAAGAUACCAGCUGGCUGCAACUGUUUAUUAAAAACACAGCACUGUGCAAACACGAAAGUGGACGUAUACGGUGUGACGCCUGCCCGGUGCCGGAAGGUUAAUUGAUGGGGUUAGCGGUAACGCGAAGCUCUUGAUCGAAGCCCCGGUAAACGGCGGCCGUAACUAUAACGGUCCUAAGGUAGCGAAAUUCCUUGUCGGGUAAGUUCCGACCUGCACGAAUGGCGUAAUGAUGGCCAGGCUGUCUCCACCCGAGACUCAGUGAAAUUGAACUCGCUGUGAAGAUGCAGUGUACCCGCGGCAAGACGGAAAGACCCCGUGAACCUUUACUAUAGCUUGACACUGAACAUUGAGCCUUGAUGUGUAGGAUAGGUGGGAGGCUUUGAAGUGUGGACGCCAGUCUGCAUGGAGCCGACCUUGAAAUACCACCCUUUAAUGUUUGAUGUUCUAACGUUGGCCCCUGAUCGGGGUUGCGGACAGUGUCUGGUGGGUAGUUUGACUGGGGCGGUCUCCUCCUAAAGAGUAACGGAGGAGCACGAAGGUUGGCUAAUCCUGGUCGGACAUCAGGAGGUUAGUGCAAUGGCAUAAGCCAGCUUGACUGCGAGCGUGACGGCGCGAGCAGGUGCGAAAGCAGGUCAUAGUGAUCCGGUGGUUCUGAAUGGAAGGGCCAUCGCUCAACGGAUAAAAGGUACUCCGGGGAUAACAGGCUGAUACCGCCCAAGAGUUCAUAUCGACGGCGGUGUUUGGCACCUCGAUGUCGGCUCAUCACAUCCUGGGGCUGAAGUAGGUCCCAAGGGUAUGGCUGUUCGCCAUUUAAAGUGGUACGCGAGCUGGGUUUAGAACGUCGUGAGACAGUUCGGUCCCUAUCUGCCGUGGGCGCUGGAGAACUGAGGGGGGCUGCUCCUAGUACGAGAGGACCGGAGUGGACGCAUCACUGGUGUUCGGGUUGUCAUGCCAAUGGCACUGCCCGGUAGCUAAAUGCGGAAGAGAUAAGUGCUGAAAGCAUCUAAGCACGAAACUUGC